ACUACGGGUGGCAGCAGGGGGGAAUAGUGCACAAGGGGCGAAAGCCGGAUGCAGCAACGCAGCGGGAGAGAUGAAGGCCUUCGGGUGGGAAAGCUCUGGCCUCAAGGAAGAGAAUGACGGUACUUGAGGAGGAAGCCCCGGCUAACGACGUGCCAGCAGCCGCGGUAAGACGUAGGGGGCUAGCGUUAUCCGGAAUUACUGGGCGUAAAGGGGGCGUAGGUGGUUUCUGAAGUCAGAGGUGAAAGGCUACGGCUCAACCGUAGUUCGCCUUUGAAACUGGGAACCUUGAGUGCAGGAGAGGCGAGUGGAAUUCCUAGUGUAGCGGUGUAAUGCGUAGAUAUUAGG
rnacentral:rRNA from 1 species